GCUAAUACAUGCGUCCAAACCCGACUCCCGAAGGGUUGUGCUUAUUAGAUACCGAACCAACCCAGGCGUGCCUGGUGACUGUUGAUUCAUGAUAUCCUAUCGGAUCGCACGGCUUGUCCGGCGACGAGACAUUCAAGUUUCUGACCUAUCAGCUUCCGACGGUAGGGUAUUGGCCUACCGUGGCUUUGACGGGUAACGGGGAAUUAGGGUUCGGUUCCGGAGAGGGAGCCUGAGAAACGGCUACCACAUCUAAGGAAGGCAGCAUGCGCGCAGAUUACCCAAUCCUGACACACGGAGGUAGUGACAACAAAUACCAGUACGAGGCCUUGAGGCUUUGUAAUUGGUAUGAGAACAACACACACCGCUUUCCGAGAAUCAAUUGGAGGGCAAGUCUGGUGCCAGCAGCCGCGGUAAUUCCAGCUCCAAUAUCCGUAUAUCAAAAGUUGUUGCGGUUAACACGCUCCNUAGAUUGGGUUUCUGUCGGACGCAUCAUGUCUGCCCAAGCGGCUAGUACUUGUUCCUGUUGUCCGGGCAUCUUCCUUGGCGAAACAAUUGCNCACCUUCGUUGUGUUGGCUCCGGAAAACCUUGACGUUUACUUUGACGAAAUCAAAAUUGCCUCAAGACGGGUGUCCGCACGAAUUACGUUAGCAUGAUAU
rnacentral:rRNA from 1 species